CGCUUUGCUUAUCAACUGGGUCACUUUUAAGUUAGCCGAUCAGAUGUGAGGGUGAGCUCUGGCCUCUUAGAAGCAGGCUCAAAGAGGUCCAGCCUGGGGUAGAAUGGCUAGGAAGCUGCAGCUUGUCUAAGCUGGAAGACCCACAAGGAGCCCAGACUUCUGAUCAGAAGAUCUUCCCUCCCUGCCCACGGGCGAGGGAACUGGUUUGGUCAUCCCUGGCAGUCAAUCCAUCCCGAGAGCUGUGUCAGACUCUACUCUGGGAGAUGCAGCUUGUCCUCCGGGGCCACACACACAGGACUGGGACAGUCACUCUGGGAAAGAGAGCUGAGGGUCCCCCAAGUGCCUGGGACAACACUGGAGCCCAUCUGAGCAACCGCUAGCCUCCCUGGAGCCCAGCCCGAGAUAGAUGGUGGGUGUCUGCUUUUCUGUACCCAGGGAGCAACCUCCUCCACCAGCUUUCCCAGCCACACACCCAGGCGGUAGAACACACACGUAUCUUUGUUAAUUUAUGGAAACAAUACAACUCCUCUGAGACCACCGCUCUAGGCAACAGCCCUGCCUACACCCAGCUGUUUAUCUCAGAUGUGUGGAGAGAAAAGCAGAACUCUCCACCCUCUCCCAGGCAAGGCCCCACCCAGGGCUCUCUCACACACACACACACACACACACACACACACACAAACUGUGCAGAUGUGAGCUCACUGGCCCCAGUGAAAACAAGCACGAGGCCUGGCGACCACUGGAUGGUACAGCUGCACGUACAGUCGUACAGACUUGCAAACAUGCAGAUGUACAGACGUGCAGAUGCGCAGAAGGCCCGGUGGGAGGGCUCUCUACUGAUCCAGAGUCCUGUACCUCCCAGCUCUCCUACCCACGGCAUGGCCUCAAUGUCCCCCCUUUCCUUGGCCGUGAACAAAGAUCUCCAUAGCUGACAGUCAUCACAGGGACAACUGCCCCGACACUGCCCACUCCAGGGCCUUGAGUCCGCUCUGUGGAGAGCCCUGCCCAGCUGUGGCUGGCCUCUGGACCUCUUGGUUGCACAGGCUCUGGCUUCCUCGGAGAGAGUGCCUGCUCCAGCCAGUCCUUCCUCAUGGUUCCAGCUCCCGGGAGAGGCGGGACAGUUCCCGCUGGUUGUCAAUGACCUUCAGCUGCUGGACAUAAGCCCAGGUGCUGGCUGGACUCCGGGUGCUCAGGGACUGCUCAGAACCUGGAGGAAGGGAGAGCCAUCAGAGAAAGAGAGAGAGAGGUGCCAUGGUCAGGUCACCACGCCUACCUCUCUCUCCGGGGAGCAGCCUCAGCUCUCUCCCCUCCCCUACCUCACAUCCUCUCAAUCCAAGUCCCCAGACUACUGUCUCUCCCACCACAGAGUCAGGAGGGCAGUGGAUGCAAAGUCUGAAGAAAGAAGGUCCCUCCGCCCACCAAGAUCUAUCUCAGCAUAGUACCCCUUCUCUGGGUCAAAAGGAACUAAAACAGACUGGAUAUGGUGGUGCGCGUUUAUAAUCCGGGAGCUUCCGAAGCUGAGGCAGGAGGAUGGAGAGUUCCAAGCCCUGUUUCAAGAAACAAGAAAUGGCCAGGCAUGGUGGUGCGUGCCUUGACUCCAGCACCCAAGAGGUGGAGGCAUGGGGAUCUUUAGGAGUUUGGAGCUAGCCUGGGCUACAUAAUGAGUUCCAGGCCAGCAAAGCCAAAAAGUAAAGCAAACAAAAGCUGGAGGGAUAGCUCAGGGCAUGAACUGCUUGUCCUAAUAACUUGUCUGUAAUUCCCAUGCUGAAACAGUCAGAUCGCUGGGGCCAGUCUGACAGCCCAGGACACUUGUUAAGUUCCUGGCCAGUGAGAGCUUGUCUCACAAAGAAGAGAGAGCGGCUGCCCAAGGAUGACCCCCCCCCCCCAAGGCUGAGGCUGUUCUCUGCCCACCGGCCCUGGUGUGUCCUCAUAUGCAAAUGGCUGGCAUCCAACCUCACACAUACGCACAGGUGUAUAC
rnacentral:lncRNA from 1 species